ACAGACCAACGAGCCUUUCACCGGCGGAGGCGCCGCCGUGGACGACAGCGGAGGGGUAUGGUAGUAAAACGGGAAAUAGGGCACAAUUGGGUUGGGAGGAGGCGGCGUUGGGUAGUACCCUCUCGGCGGUGGGUAGUAGUACGCGCCACCGCCACCGCCUCCGCUGGUGGACGCCGGCGGCGGCGGCGAGGAGUAGGUGUACUGAGAGGGUGGCGGCGGGGAGUAAUAGUAAGCACCACCACCGCCGGAGCUUGGAGGCGAUGGCGGCGGAGGGCAGUAGGUAGUGGUCGGAGCUGGCGGCGGCGGAGAGGGUGGAGGCGGCGAGGGAAUUUGACCGCAAGGAGUGCACUUGAUGUCAUCCUUCGACGUCGUUUUAAGGUUGUGAUCUUCCA
rnacentral:lncRNA from 1 species